rnacentral:lncRNA from 1 species
AUAUAACUUAACAUUUAUUUUAAUUGACACAAUUGUAUAUAUUUAUGGGCUACAGUUGUGAUUUAAAUAAAUGUAUACAAUUAUAAUGACCAGAGUAACUGGCAUAUGCACCAUCUCAAACAUCUAUCCUCUUUGUAUUGGGAACAUUAGUUAUUUUAAAAUAUACAAUUAAUUAUUUCAACCACAGUUACCCUUCUCUGCUACAGAAUGCUAUAAGUUUUUCCUCCUGUCCAAUUGCACCCUGGACCCACCAACCAUCUUCUCUCUAUCCCCUAUAAGCUAUAGCAUUUUAUCCCAGGCUCCAAUAACUUACAGCAUUUUUUCCAGAGGCUUAAAACAAUCAUGCUAUAUUUUCUCAUGAUUCUACUCUACUCCAAGUGGUAUUGACUUGAUAAGUUCAUAAUCAGCAGGGGAGCCAAAGGGAGACUGGCUGGUGCUGGCAUUGACUGCUGGCUGGGCCUCUCUCUCUGCAUGGCCUCCUGUUGUCCCAUUGACUAGACCAAGCAUCUUCACAUAGUGACAGAGGCAUUCUAAGAGAACAAAAGUAAAAGCUAUGGAGUCUCCUGAGGCCUGUAUUAGGCAGCUUCAUGUUACUAAGCUGAAAUACACAAGGCAAUUAACUUAGAAUAAGGUUUGCCUCUGAAGUGGCACAUGCAUAUGAUAUCAGUUACUCAGGAAGCUGAGGCAGGAAGAUCACAAGUUCAAGGCCAGUUUGGGUAAUUUGGCAAGACCCUAUCUCAAAAUGAAAAGAUCUGGGAGUGUAGCUCACUGGUAGAGCACUUUCCUAGCAUGCGCAAGGUCCUGGAUUGAUCCCGCACACUGAAAAAAAAGUUGGUAUAAUAAAAUCAAAGUUAACAAUCAAUGGUGGACAUGGAGCUGGGACUUGGAUUUGGACAAGUCCUUUAAAUAGGAAGCUUUUUAACGCCUUGGAAGUUGUAUUUGACUUAUAAGAAAUACAAAUUGCUCGUGAGUUUUGAAGAAAUCUAAUUUAAAAAGUAGCAACUAGCCAGAGUAUUGUACACCCCAGAGCUCUUUCAGUUUUGUUUCUUUUCCAACUUGUCUUCCUUGCAAACAGGAGCCCACAGGGGUUGCUGCUCCUUCUAGAGAAAACUUCCAGACAGCCCAGGGGGUCCUUCCUGAGGUACAAACCCUCAUAGAUUAAGACAGGUAUGGCUGGGGCUGGGGAUGUGGCUCAAGCGGUAGCGCGCUCGCCUGGCAUGCGUGCGGCCCGGGUUCGAUCCUCAGCACCACGUACAAACAAAGAUGUUGUGUCAGCCGAGAACUAAAAAAUAAAUAUUAAAAAAUUCUCUCUCUCUCUCUCUCUCUCUCUCUCCCCCCACUCUCUCUUUAAAAAAAAAAAAAAAAAAAAAAAGACAGGUAUGGCUGACAGAAACAUUGAUGUUUCACAGGUAAUGCCAGCCAGUGAGCAAUUUAGAUAACAAAAUGUGGUGCUGUCAUUAAAGGUUAUUAUGAGCAUUUUAACCUAACGACCUUGAUAAUUUGCCCAAAUGUUAUAGAUUUCCAGCACUUUCAGCAUUCCUAAUCAAUAACACUUCAUUUAUUAUUGCUAUAGUUCGGAACUUAAGUGGCCCCCAAAGGUCCAUAUAUUAAGAGUUUAAGUCCUGGCCGGGCACAGCAGCACAUACCUGUAAUCCCAGUGGUUCUGGAGGCUGAGGCAGGAGGAUCACAAGUUCAAAGCCAGCCUCAGCAAUGGCGAGGUGCUAAGCAACUCAAUGAGACCCUGUCUCUAAAUAAAAUACAAAAUAGGGCUGGGGAUGUGGCUCAGUGGUCGAGUGCCCCUGAGUUCAAUCCCUGUACAAAAAAAAAAAAGCGCCCAGACUGGCACUUUUUAGUAUAGCCUUUAAGAAGUGGAGGCUGGGGUAGGUCUUCAGGUCACUGGGGACAUGCCCUGGUAGGAAUUUUGGGGCAAUUACAAGACCCUGAUCUCUUCCUCUUCAUUUUCUGCCAUGAGGUGAAUGGUUUUGCUCUGCCAUCCACUGAUGCCAUGAUGUUCUGACUUGCCACAGGCCCAAAAGCAAGAGGGACAACCAAUCAUGGACUGGAACUUCCAAAACUGUGAGCCGAAAUAAACCUUAUGUCUUCAUCAGUUGAUUGUCUUGAAUAUUUGUUAUAGUGAUGGAGAGCAGAUUAACACAAUGACAUUCUUUACUGUGUUUCAGAUGCCAGGCACGAUGAUACCCGUUUUAUAAAUUAGGAGAGUGAGGAACGGAGAGGAUUUGCGUGCUUCAUAUAAGUGCCAGAGAUGACUCUCAGGUUUAAACUAUAACAAAUAUCUGAGAUGAUCAACUAAUAAAGAGAGGCUUAUUUCAGCUCAUGGAGAUUCCACACAGCACCACUAAAAUCCCAUUGAUAAUAGCAACAAGACCUAUGAAAUACCCCUUUAGAAGCCCCUGUGCAAGCCCUUUUAGGGAAAAUUAUAAAGCUUUCCUGAGACAUCAAGGACUUCUUUAAAUAGAGAAAUAUACUACAUUCAUGAGUAAAGAAACUUAAUAUUAUAAAAAUAUAAUUUCUCUUCAACUCAAUAAUUUUAAUGCAACUUAAUCAAGGUUUCGAGAUUUUUCACGGAACAGGGCUGGAGCUACAUGUAGCUCAGUGGUAGAGUACUUGCCUAGCAUGUACAAACUCCUGGGUUUUAUCCCCAGCAAUCCCUCCCAGCAAUCCCUUCCCCCAAUUUUUUCCCACGGAAAUGCAUUCUUCAUAGUGAGGAGUAAAUAUGCAAUAAAACCCAAGAUUAUUUGAAAAAGGGUGCUUUGUCUAUCUGACAUUAAGACAUGCUACAAAUCAGUAAUACUAAUAAUGGACUUGAUGCAAAGUGGACUUUAGGUCAAUAAAACAGAAUAGCCCAAAACAGAAGAGUCCCAUACAUAUAAGGAGGUUUGUUAUAUGGUACAGACAGCAUUUCAAAACUAUGGUUCAAGAUUCAAGAAAUGGGUCCUGGGUUUGUCUCAGUGGUGGGGCACUUACCUCACACAUAUGAGGCACUGGGUUUGACCCUCAGCACCACAAAUAAAUAAAUAAUAAAGGCUUUGUGUCCAUCUACAACUAAAAAUAUUAAAAAAAAAAAAAAAAGGUUCAAGAAAUGGUUUGAGAGGCUGGGGAUAUAGAUCAGUUGGUAGAUUGCUUGCCUUGCAUGUACAAGGCCCUGGGUUCAAUCCCCAGCACCACACACAAAAAUAAAUAAAUAAAUAAAUAGUUUAAGAAGUAGUUGGUAGCAACUGGCUAUCUAUAGAGGGGAAAGAAAAUCAAAUUCCUACUUCAUACCAUGCAUACCAGCAAAUUCCAAGUGGAUUUAAAAUAUAUAUUUUAUACAAAUAUAUAUACAUAUUAGUUGUAUAUAUAUAAAUAUAUUUUAGUUGUAAUUGGACACAAUACCUUUAUUUUAUUUAUUUAUAUGUGGUGCUGAGGAUCAAACCCAGAGUCUUGCACGUGCUAGGCGAAUGUUCUACCACUGAGCCACAACCCAGCCUGCCAAGUGGAUUUUAAAACAAUGUAAAGCCAGACAUGAUAGCACACGCCUGUAAUCCCAGAGGCUCAGGGAAGCUGAGGCAGAAGGAUCACAAGUUCAAAGCCAGCCUCGGAAAAAGGAAGGUACUAAACAACUCAGCGAGACCCUGUUUGUAAAUAAAAUACAAAAUAGGACUGGGGACAUGGCUCAGGGGUUGAGUGCCCCUGAUUCAAUUCCCAGUACCCCCACCCCCACCCCCCAAAAAAAGUAAAAACAAAAUUUAAACAUAUUUGAAAAAAUAUAUUUUGAAAAAAACUUGAUGAUUGUACUAGUUAGGAUUCUUGGUCCUAACAGAACCAAUAACAACUAAAAAAAAAAAAAAAAACCUGUUAACUUUGAUUAAAAAAAAAAAAAGGAAUUAAUGUAUUGGCAGGAGACAAUAAGUUAACAAGUGGAUAGGAUGUUGCAGAAAAUAGCAAGAAUCAAAAGUCCUGCAGGGUGCCAGAGCAUACACCUGUAAUCCUAGUGACUCAGGAGGUAGAGGCAGGAAAACUACAAGUUUGAGGCCAGCCUCAGCAACUUAGCAAGACCCUGUUUCAAAACAAAACAAAAUGGAUUGGGGAUAUAGUAAUUCAGUGGUGCACCCCUGGGAUAAAUCCUCAGAACAACAAAAAAAUCCUUUAAGAUCACACAAAAGGAGACCAGGUGUGGUGGUGCAUGCCUGUGGUUCCAGCUACUUUAGGAGGCUGGGGCAGGGAUCACUGGAGUCCAGCAAUUCCAGGCCAGCUGGUGCAACAUGAUCUGACCCAUCCCAAAAAAAAGGAAAGAAAGCCGGCAGGUACAAGGGAAGAUCCAUCAAGGCACAGGGCAAUUAGUGUGUAAAUGUGACUGAAUUAUAAAGAACUAGAAACAGCAGGAAUGUGGAGCUGAAUCCCAUCCUCAGGAAUAUGAUGUCACAGCCCCUGGGAGAGUGCUCUGACAGCGCUGGUGAAACUGAGCCUGCCCUGCCACCUAAUAAGUCCCACCUCUAGCAUCCACCCUGAGAAAUGGAAUGACGCCUAAAGACACGUGCCUAAGGAGCAAAAAAUGGGAACAACCUCAACAGUGUCCAUAGUCAAAGAGAUAAAGAGAAUAGAACAUGGUGUCCUGUUGGAAGGAAGUGGCAGGGCUGGGGGUGGAGCUGAGGUAGAGUGCCUGCCCAGCUCCUGCCAGGCAUUGGGCUCCAUCCCCAGGAGAGCAGCAGUCGGGCACAUCAUAGAUUAAUUAAAAGUCUUACCGAGAGGGAAAAAGCAAGUUGCAGAAUUAUGCAAUUUAGCAAGGCAACAUUAUGCCAUACUUUCUAUGUGGAAUGUAGCACAGAGCAUAAAUGCUAAGUUUUGUUUCUUAAGAUUAAAAGGUUGUGGCUCAGUGGUAGAGCACUUGCCUUGCAUGGGUGAGGUACUGGGUUCGACCCUCAGCACCACCUUAAAAUAAAUAAAUAAAUAAAGAUUUUUUUAAAAAAAGGAUUGGAGCUGGGCACAGUUGUGUGCACCUGUAAUCCCAGCGGCUAGGGAGGUUGAGACAGGAGAAUUGAGAGUUCAAAGCCAGCCUCAGCAACUUGGCAAGGCCCUCAGCAACUCAGUGAGACCCUGUCUCCAAAUACAAAAUAGGGCUGGGGGUUGUAGUUCAGUGGUCAAGUUCUCCUGAGUUCAAUCCCUGGUACCAUAAAAAAAAAUUUCAGGGAUGAGGGGCUGAGGAUAUAGCUCAGUUGGUAGAGUCCUUGCCUUGCAUGCACAAGGCCCUGGGUUUGACCCCCAGCACAAAAAAACAAAACAAACAAAAAUUUUUUUAAUUAAAAAAAAAAAAAAAAGAUUAAAAGAGUUGGGCUGGGGAUAUAGCAGAGUUGGUAGAGUGCUUGUCUCAUAUGCACUAAGACCCUGGUUCAAUCUCCAGCACCACACACACACAAAAAAAGAUUAAAAGGGUUGGAAUGGGACUGGGGUUGUGGCUUAGUGGUAGAGCGCUUGCCUAGCAUGUGUGAGGCACUGGGUUCGAUCCUCAGCACCACAUAAAAAUGAAUAGAUCAAAUAAAGAUUAUUGUGUCCAUCUAUAACUAAACUUUUUUUUUUCUUUAAAAAGGCUGGAAUAGAGAAAGAUUUCAGUUUUCUCUGUAACAUUCAACUUUGCUUCCAUGAUGAAUUUUAUUUAUUUAUUUAUGCAGUGCUAGGGAUAGAACCCAAGGCCAAGCACGUGCUGAGCAAAUGUGCUACCACUGAGCUACACCCCAGACUUUCCAUUUUGAGAUAUGGUCUUGCUAGGUUGCCUAGGCUACCUUGAAUUUGUGAUCCUCCUGCCUCAAUCCCCUGAGUAGCUGGGACUACAGGCAUGCACCACCACCUCUGGAUUUUGUCCAUUUAAUACCCAGUCACCCAAAUAAAAUUUCAGAAAAAUGGCUAGAAUUUUUUCAAACUUAGAAGCCAUAUUAAAGAUCAUCUGUCUUUAAAAUGUGAACUGUCUGGUACGGUGACACACUUGUGAAAUUCCAGUUCUUGGAAGGCUGAGGCAGGAGGACUAUAAGUUCAAGGCAGCCUGGGCAAUUUAGUGAGCCCCUAUCUUCAAAAAGAAAAAAAAGGGCUAGGGAUGUAGCUCAGUGGUAGAGCAUCCUUGGGUUCAG